UAUAGUAUCUUGAGCUGACGUUUUACAUGGCUUCAGUGCUACUACACUCAAGAUGCCUGAAAUGAAAUUUUUAAAUUGUAUCAUGUAAAAUUACAUUAUAUUGUCCUUAGGAACACCUUGAGUUACAAACAUACAUACUUAUGGAUGAAGUACUUAAGAACCAAUUGCAUUUUUUUAUAACCACCAAUCUAGUUAGGAACAUGUGUGAAACACAAGCAUUCUUUGAUUUGUAAGUUGAAACAAUGAUGAACACAGUUCAUUCAUGAGUCAGGGACUCCCUGAAUCCUAUUUGGAUUAUCUUUUCAAGAGUGUCUUGAUUCUGGUGAAAGGUUCUUGAUCCAAGGAGUUUGAGUUACCCAUCCUUUCCCUUCCUUGGAUCAAACCUAGAUACCUUCCAUUCUCCAGGUGCUUUAUGAAUCCUAUGGGUUUAUUGCUUUCCUAUAAAUAUGAUGGUGAUACUCAGUAUUAUGCAAGACAAAGAAUGUGUAAUGUGUUGUAGACGUUCAUAUGAAAUGUGUUCUGUGCUUAAAAGAAAAGGGCAUUAAAGUGUAGGAAUAAUAUCAGGAAUUACAUAAAAAGUUACAUAUUAAAUGCCCUGAUAGUCAGCUUCUCCCUUCUUUUAGUGGACCUGCAGUAGUUCACCAAAACCCGUGUUUAUGAGAGGAUCCCUUUGGUGAUGUUAGGUUUGUCCAGGACUUGGUGCUGGACAAACUGAAACAUCAUCAUGGGGGUCCUUUCCCAAGUCCAGGUUUUGGGUGAAUUGUUCCAGCCAUGGUAUUAUGACUUUUUAUUCUUUGUCCACAGCAAGCUGGAUACAGUGACAUGUAUUAUUCUCUAACUUUUUUUUUAACACACUGGCCGUCUCCCACCGAGGUAAGGUGACCAAAAAAGAAGAAAUACUGUCACCAUCACUCAUCCUUCACUGUUCUCUAAUGUCAGGACUAAAACUGGUGGUUACAGAUAACACCGUCUUUUGCUGCUCUAGCAGUUUAUACAAUACCUAUAAUGUUUCUGGUCAUUAUUCAUUCAACAUUUUUUCUUUUGUGGUGGGACAGUUAUACCUGUUUUUCUUCUGCCAUUAUGGUUUCUAUUGGUGUGCUGUGCUGAAUGAUGUACGUGAUAAGAAAGGCACUAUGUUUAUAAAAAACCUCCAGACAUAAUGUCUGUUUCACUUCCUGUCAGUUUAUCUCAUUGUUCAUCCAACACAUGUGGGUUUAGCAGUAACAUUUCCCUUGAAUAUAUGGUAAUCAUAAUAAUAAUAAUAUUCUCUUUGUUUGCUGGAGAAAUUCUAAUUCUUUCUACAUAUUCUUAGUGCUGGCAAAGGGUGACUUCACUUUAAUGUUGACAAAAUUUAACUUGUACAAGAGGAGGCAAGCAGGCAAGAUUCUGAAGAUUUUGUGGCAGCGCCUAUGUCUGCCGCACGAACAUACGGUUGUGCCCAGUCUGGGACUGACUCUCCUGCGAAGUAUGGUCUGUUGGUAGAGUUUGGUGAAAGAAAAAGGCAAUAUGUGAGAUUAUUUGAUAAUGCCUCCUACCUGAAGACUUUCCUAAAUGCUGCUUCUUCAGUGGAAACAAGGUCUUCAGAGUCAGCAUAAAUGGCACAGAACACAAGAGGAACACACUGCAGAGGGUCACGUGAAGUUGCAUUUUCGAAGUCCUGCUUCAGCUUAUAGUCUGUGUCCGCACUUCUGUGAUGUCUCAACACUAAUGCUGUUAGGAUAAAGUGUGAAUUAGAUAAGUGCUUGAAAUAUUUCUAUUAAAUGUUGAAUAAAUAUAUGCAGUAUA